AGAAAAUCAGGGCUAGAGCGGAGGAAAACCAUAAAAAGCAAGGAUAGAACGGAGGAAAACCAAGAAAAGCGAAGUUAGAGUCGAGGAAAGCCAAGAAAAGAAAAGUUAGGGCGGAGGAAAACCAAGAAAAGCAAGGUUAGAGCGGAAGAAAACCAAGAAUAGCGGGGUUAAAGCGGAUGAAAACCAAAAAAAGCGGGGUUAGAGUAGAGGAAAAGCAAGAAAAGAGCGGUUAGAGCAAAGGAAAAGCAAGAAAAGCUAAGUUAGAGCAGAGGAAAGCUAAGAUAAGCGAGGUUAGAGCGGAGGAAAACCAGGAAAAGCGACGUUACAGCGGAGGAAAUCCAAGAGAAGGGGGUUGGAACAGAGGAAAACCAAGAAAAGCUGGGUUAGAGCGGAGGAAAUCCAAGAAAAGGGGGUUAGAACGGAGGAAAACCAAGAGAAGCGGGGUUUGAGCAGAGGAAAACCAAGAAAAGCGAAUUUAGAGCGGAGGAAAACCAAGAAAAGAAGUGUUAGAGCAAAGGAAAACCAAGAAAAGCAAGGUUAGAGCAGAGGAAAACCAAGAAAAGCGAAGUUAGAGCGGAGGAAAACCAAGAAAAGCGGAGUUAGAGCGAAGGUAAACCAAGAAAAGCGAAGUUAGAGCAGAGGAAAACCAAGAAAAGCGGGGUUAGAUUGGAGGAAAACCAAGAAAAGCAAAGCUAGAGCGCAGGAAAACCAAGAACAGCGAAGUUAGUGCGGAGGAUAACCAUGUAAAGAGGGAAAGAGCGGAGGAAAACCAAGAAAAGCGGGUUAGAGCGGAGGAAAACCAAGAAAAGCGAAGUUAGAGCAAAGGAAAACCAAGAAAAGCGGGGUUAGAGCAGAGGAAAACCAAGAAAAGCGAAGUUAGAGCAGAGGAAAACCAAGAAAAGCGGGAUUAGAGUGGAGGAAAACAAAGAAAAGCGAAGCUAGAGCGAAGGAAAACCAAGAUCAGCGAAGUUAGUGCGGAGGAAAACCAAGAAAAGCGGGGAUAGAGCGGAGGAAAACCAAGAAAAGCGAAGUUAGAGGAGGAAAACCAAGAAAAGCGGGGUUAGAGCGGAGGAAAACCAAGAAAAGCGAAGUUAGAGCGAAAGAAAACCAAGAAAAGCGAAGUUGGAGCGAAGAAAAACCCAGAGAUGCUGGGUUAGUGCGGAGGAAAACAAAGAAAAGCGAAGUAAGAGCGGAGGAAAACGAAGAAAAUCUGCGUUAUAUGGGAGGAAAACCAAGAAAAGCGGGGUUAGAGCGGAGGAAAUCCAAGAAAAGAGAAGAGCGGAGGAAAACAAAGAAAAACGUGGUUAGAUCAAAGGAAAACCAAGAAAAGCGGGGUUAGAGUGAGGAAAACCAUGAAAAGCGGGGUUAGAGCGGAGGAAAACCAAGAAAAGCAGGGUUAGAGCAGAGGAAAACGAAGAAAAGCGGGGUUAAACCAGAGGAAAACCUAGAAAACGAAGUUAGAGUGGAGGGAAAGCAAGAAAAGCAGGGUUAGAGCGUAGAUAAAUCAAGAAAAGCAGGGUUAGAGCCAAGGAAAUCCAUGAAAAGCGGGGUUAGAGCGGCGGAAAACCAGGAAAAGCGGGGUUAAGCGGAGGAAAACAAAAAAAAGCGAGGUUAGAGCAGAGGAAAACCAAGAAUAGCGAAGUUAGAGCGGAGGAAAAACAAGAAAAUCAGGGCUAGAGCGGAGGAAAACCAUAAAAAUAGGGGUUAGAGUGGAGGAAAACCAAGAAAAGCACAGUUAGGGCGGAGGAAAACCAAGAAAAGCGGGGUUAGAGAGGAGGAAAACCAAGAAUAGCGUAGUUAGAGCGGAGGAAAACCAAGAAAAUCAGGGCUAGAGCGGAGGAAAACCAUAAAAAGCGGGGAUAGAACGGAGGAAAACCAAGAAAAGCGAAGUUAGAGUGGAGGAAAGCCAAGAAAAGCGAAGUUAGGGCGGAGUGAAACCAAGAAAAGUGGGGUUAGAGCGGAAGAAAACCAAGAAUAGCGGGGUUAGAGCGGAUGAAAACCAAGAAAAGCGGGGUUAGAGCAGAGGAAAAGCAAGAAAAGAGAGUUAGAGCGAAGGAAAACCAAGAAAAGCUAAGUUAGAGCAGAGGAAAACUAAGAAAAGCGAGGUUAGAGCGGAGGAAAACCAGGAAAAGUGACGUUACAGCAGAGGAAAUCCAAGAGAAGGGGGUUAAAACAGAGGAAAACCAAGAAAAGCUGGGUUAGAGCGGAGGAAAUCCAAGAAAAGGGGGUUAGAACGGAGGAAAACCAAGAGAAGCGGGGUUUGAGCAGAGGAAAACCAAGAAAAGCGAAUUUAGAGCGGAGGAAAACCAAGAAAAGAAGUGUUAGAGCAAAGGAAAACC
rnacentral:lncRNA from 1 species